CCCUCAGCGCCCCUCCCGCCAUGGCCGCUGCUGGCCCAUCCCGGGAAUAGCGAGCCAGCGGGCCUCAGCCGCUUGUUUGCUUUGGGCUUCCCGAGCAAACGCGGCACGCACGGCUCUGGCAGCGCGGCUCGGACGGUCCCAGCGGCUCGGCACGCCCGGGCUGCUGGUGGCGGUGACAGAACUCUGCCAGCUUUGCCAUUUACGAGAAUGCUGAACCGCCUGGGGUUUUGGUUUUUGGGGGUUUUUUUUGGAGCUGCGGGGGAGCUCCGAGGGCUUGGGCAUCACAGUAUUUGUAUGGCUGGUGGUGCUCGUCAGAAGCCAAGUCUCACUUCCUCUCCAAACGUCUCUAUUGGAAGAUGUCCCUGCCCGUGGCAGGGGGUGGAGCCAGGGGAUCCUUAAGGUCCCUUCCGACCUGAACCAUUCUGUGAUUCUGCGGCUCUGUGAUAUUUAGCUCUUCUUUACAGUGAAAAUUAGGUGAGGCUCCGCAGGAGUUCUUAGAGAUAAGAACUUAAGAUGCCUGCUUCCAAAACCUAAUGCUCGGGAACGAGAAUGGUGUUCCCCUUCCUUAAGUGAAAUCACAACAGGGCUUUUGGUGUCGAACUCUUAAAGAGUGCAAAAAACCUCUUCAAGUGUGUUUGCCCACAUGCAGAUGGCUGAAAGUGUUUAUCUGUUACUAGUAAGUUAAUAUUUGAAAAAAGCCUCAAAAUCAAAGGUGUUUUCACCUGCAGGACACAUUAGAUCACCGUAUGGAUUAACCAAAUUUCAUAUUGCUGUAACUUAGCAUGGGUUGUUUCUCCAUACAAACCUUUUCAACCUAACAGUCCCUCUCUACCAAAAAGUCCAAUUAUUUUAAAUUAUUUGAUCAAAUAACAAAGCAGUUUCACCGACAAUAGCAAGGAGAGCAAAAGGGGAGCAGUAGGGAUGAUGCUGCUGCUACCCUGCUCUAGAGUGAGCCUGCAUAUGUGCCUGUCAGGAGCUGGAAUACACCACCCAGACCUCAUACAGAUGCACCCACGAGGAAUCUGCUGUCAAGCACCACAAAAGUCCUUCAAGAAAAGGGAAAAAUUCAUCUUCUUUUGUGGAGAGAAAUUACUUCUGUUGAAAGAACCAGAGAGGAGAAAGCUUCUGUUUAACAGGUGCACACAGCAAAUCACUCGUCCUACAGACCAACAAAGAGAAGGAAACGAACAAUGAGACCUGAAAUUACUGUGGUGGUGCUCUCACAGAAUAGGGAAGGGAGAGGUGAGAUGGCCAAAGGUAUGUGUGAAGAUGCUCAAAACGAACCGCGUUAUGCAGGGCACCUGAAAGCGUUGUAUGGACUUGCAGUCAUCAGGAAUACUGUGAUGCAGGAUGUAUGCAUCUAAAGGAUGUAUGGGAAACUUGGGCUAUGUGAUCGCAGGGGAUGUGGGAAACAUUGUGAGAACAGCAAUUAACUCUGUUUAUGGUUCACGGAACACUGUGUUUAACUGAUGUAAGCACUUUCUAUAAAAGUCUCUGUGUGUGUUUUCCUCCACAAAUAUUCUUAUCUUGCAAAUGUAACAUUUGUCUAACUUUGUUUAACCAGGUUUCUUUUCUCCAAACUAAAUGUUAUGCUUGUUCCAAAAAAUAAAACCUUGUGGAUCUCA